AGGGAAUGCUCUAUCUAUGUAUUAUGCAAUCUCUCUUUUUUCUCUCUCCAUUGUAAUUUGUUUUUUAUCGGUAUCAAGGUAUAGAUCUUGGAUAGAUAAUUUCAACCAAAAGGUAAAGGAUUUUAAAACAAACAAUUUCUAAGUUUAUUAGUAUGGCGGCUGUCCAUUUAUUCAUUUUUAAAAGCUAAUAAGAUCUACAGUCACUUUUAAUAGUUAUUGUUCUAGUAAAUUAAAUUAAAUGUCUACCUCCCACCAACAGAUAACUUUGCCAAACAUGUGUACAUGUAAAUAACGACCAAUAAACACAAGCCUCUAAGCAUCCAUUAGUUAUACAUCUAAUCAUUACCCUUUAGCAGAUCUAGAUCAAGGGAUCAUCAGAGAGACAAAUCUACUCAUAAAAAGUUUCUGUUUACUUUCAAGUAUGUCUCAAAAAUCAUAUGGAGGAUGUCAGUACAUGUUUUUGUAUCUAUUAACUGUGUCAGCUUUGACUAAUCACACACACAUUAAUUGUAUACACAACAGCCAUGCAUGUAAAACACAGCAAAGUCCCCCUUCCCUCAUAACUGGAAAAAGUUCAUUUACACAGCAGGAAUUUUGAACAGCAUCCAGGAUCAAACACUGGAUUUUUCUUGAAAUUCUUCCAAGCUGCCAGUGCACUGAAUAGCUUCAACAGAAUUUUCUCCCUCACUGACAGUGUUUAUGGCUGAUUCUAUAGUUAUUUCCCUUUGCUGGUUAAAUUGGUCCAGUAGUUGUUCGGCGCCCUCUACAGUGUCAGCGAUCUCAGAACUAUGUAACUCCUGCUGCAGGUCCUCCAACCACGAAGUCAACUGAAAGAGGGAACCAGUUUAGUGCUUUCAAACAUACACCCGUAGCGUCAAUUAAAUCUUAUUCGUCAUUGUUUGCAUUCAUCCAACAUAUCAGAGUUGGAUUCAUCAAGGUAAAGUACUGAAGAUUUCAAAGAAUUGUAGUAAUUACUGCAGAAUCAUUAAUUUUUAUGGUACAAAAUUGUUCAUGGCUUGAAAAACAUAAACAUGUUAUCGAGGAUUUUAUCGUUAUUGAAGAUUUGUUAAUUUUACUAUAGCUGAAUUUCUCUUGCUAUUGGAGGAUAUGCCUAUCCCACAAAAUCAAUGAAAACUCCCUAGAAAACUAACAAUCGUACAAUAUUCUUCAUUUUUAUAACCGAUUGACUCAAGUUGGUUUUAUUUGUAAGUUGUUUCACGCCCUAUCUGAGAAUUUUUCAAUCAUGUAGAAACAUCACCAACUUGAGUGAAGUGCCACAAAUUUUGACCUAAGCAUGGUGCUCAGGGCCACAGCAGUGAAGGUUCUUUAUUACCUAUUAUGGCAUGGGACCUCCAUUUUUAAUGUCAUAUCUGCCUGACCUGUGACUUUCACUUCUUGGUGAAGGAACAGUAACUACCUAUGUUAAAUGUCUCAGGUUUAAUACGGCACCGGGAGCUAGAAUCAAGAACUGAGCCUCACAGUUGCUAAGCGAAUGACCUUAUAACCACUAGGCUAGAGAUCAGAAAAUCUGAGCUACAUAUAAUGAUAAAAUCUACUCAUAUUUCCAUCUCAACUUGUAUUGAAUAACACAAACAUAAAAUUCUUACAACAAGGGUACAGUACUUCUUCAUAAUGUAGUGCAAAAGUAGCAUAUUUGCCUUUUAAUCAACAGAACACACCUCAUGAACAUGUGUAUAAAAGUCUACAGCCAUUUGGAUGGUGGCCUUGCGCCGCUCUAGGGCAGUCAGGAAAUUGCCCAUUCUCUGCUGUAAAUCCUGGGCCUCUCGGUAGAUUUCCUUGGGGUCACAUUCUCCAGUGUGGGCAAGUUCAUCUGCUGCUGACAACAGCUUGUCUGCAUUGGUUAUAGUAUUCUAAGAAAGAACAAAAAAAUAUCAUUAAUGUCAGCCAAAGUCAUUUCAUCGUUUCCUGAAUUAAAGUGUUGUCAAAGACCUAGUUUGAAAUUACUUUUCAUAUAAAAUUUAUCAGUCUAAUAGAUAAUGGUACAUUACAGGAUUUUUGUGUGGGGGGGUACCAUUACAGGAUUUUUGUGUGGGGGGGUACCAUUACAGGAUUUUUGUGUGUGGAGUCCCUUGUGCACAGAUUUACAUUUUCAGUUAUAAGGCUACAUGGCUAUAUAGGCAACUCUGCAGAUUUGUAUGUGUUUAUUUAUAUCUAUUUCAACUUCAUGGUACCAUAUAUGUUACAUAUUGAAUGACAUAAUUUUUUCAGUUGUAUUGGGAUAUAACAUGCAACUAGUCAUGAAGAUUAAAUUCUAAGUUUACUUUUAAUCUUAAAGGUAGAUAUGCUCUAAUAUUUAUUAGUGUUUAAUCUAAAGCAAACUAGCAUGGCGUUGCGCCAUGCCCUUUUUGGCUGGCGCCAUGCCCUUUUUAAUUGCAACAUGCCCUUUUUUCUCUAUAAUUUUUUUAAAAAUAUUUGUUAAUAUAAACAAUGGUUCUUUAUUUCACAAGGUUGAUUGAAAAGUUUAAAAUCAAGGUAGCAGGUAUUAACUUUUAAAGAGGCUAAAUUAUUAUUUUAUUACUAUCAUAGUAUGACAUAAUGAAAGUGUCCUGAAAUUGUCUUGCCGCGACGAAAAGUGCCCUUUUGAGCAUAUGAUGUGUGUGCCCUCUCUAGAUCCUAGAUUUAACACUAUUUAUGUUAGAUUUUGAUUAAAAUAUCAAUAAUAUUGUAUUCUAUGAAUAAAAUGAUAUGGUAUAUUCUAUGAAUAAAAUGAACAAAAACUCUAUAUCAAAUCCAGCAUGAUAUAAAAAAUACAGUUGCAGAGAUAUAAAUGAAAAUAGUUUCAAAAGACAACCUGCCUUUUUACCCACUUUCAUUCUGAAAAAAGCCAAGUCUGACCAUGUGACUGUCUUAUUAGCUGACCAUGUGACUGUCUUAUUAGCAUACCACAUGCUAUUUUCCAUCACUUCUUGGAUCUGUACAUAUCUAACUUUAGUGUUUUACACAUGAUCUAGCAUAAUGAAUUUAGUGUGAUAUUCACAUACUUACUCUUAUAUCUACAGUCAAUGAACUUGAUGUUAUAACUUAUUGAUGCCAUUAGUUUUCUUUCUGACCAUGUGUGAAGAAGGCGUGCAAUGUGUACACUAUAUUAAUAAGGCUAUCCAAAAGUGUCCAAGAGUUAAACAAGUGGUACUGCUCACUAAAAGAAUACCCCCCUACCCCAAUCUCCCAAAGGGUGUUGUUAAUAGGUAUAAAUUACCUCUUUCCCCGAGUGUAAAAAAGAAAGGGUAUGACAAAACCUUGGGUAGACUCUUCUCUACGAGUGUGCUUGACCUUUUGACCCCAAAAUUGAUAGGAAACAUCUUCGUCCCAUGGGUAGUCCAGAAGUAUGAUAUGGUGACUGUAGGUGGAAAGGAUAACACUUUAGAGCCCAGAAACCAUAUUGCUACUUCGAUGUCCAGUGCACUUGACCUUUUGACCCUCAAAUUCAAUAGGGAACAUCUUCGUCCCAUGGGUAGUCCAUAUGUGUAAUAUAUGGCGACUGUAGGUGGAAAGGAUAACGCUUUAGAGCCUGGAAACCAUGUUGCUACUUCAAUGUCCAGUGUGCUCGACCUUUUGACCCCAAAUUCAAUAGGGAACAUCUUCGUUCCAUGGGUAGUCAAUAUGUAUGACAUGGUGACUGUAGGUGGAAAGGAUAACGCUUUAGAGCCCUGAAACAAUAUUGCUACUUCGAUAUCCAGUGUGCUUGACCUCUGACCUUUUAACCCCAAAAUCGAUAGGGAACGUCUUCGUCCCAUGGGUAGUCCAUAUGUAUGAUAUGGUGAAUGUAGGUGUAAAGGAUAAUGCUUCAGAGCCUUGAAACAAUAUUGCUACUUCGAUGUCCAGUGUGCUUGACCUCUGACCUUUUGACCCCAAAAUCGAUAGGGAACACCUUCAUCCCAUGGGUAGUCCAUAUGUAUGAUAUGGUGAAUGUAGGUGUAAAGGAUAAUGCUUCAGAGCCUUGAAACAAUAUUGCUACUUCGAUGUCCAGUGUGCUUGACCUCUGACCUUUUGACCCCAAAAUCGAUAGGGAACACCUUCGUCCCAUGGGUAGUCCAUAUGUAUGAUAUGGUGAAUGUAGGUGUAAAGGAUAAUGCUUUAGAGCCCGGAAACCAUUGCGUCUACAGACGAACAACCCGAUUCCAGUAACCAACCCCCCAACCCCCAAUUUGUUGUGGGGGGUAUAAUUAGUCAAGAAUGAACCAGGGAUCAUGGUGUGAUGAACUUCAAUUUACGUCAUAUGCAAAUGAUGCUUACUUAUUUGUACUAAACUGUACUCUUGCAGUUCUUGAGAAGGAUUUCUUACAUAUUCCGAUGAAAAAAGUUCAUGGUGUGAACAUGCUUAAAUCCACACUACAUAAGUACUCAAAAUUUAAAAUCCUUCCUAGUGUAUCCUUGCUGUUCUUGAGAGAAAAUUUUCAAUGAAUGUUCCUGUACAUUCAUGUUCCCAAGUAAAGCUUUGACCCCCUCUUGUGGCCCUAUCCGGUCUCUAAGGGCCACAAUGUGAACACAACAUGAGAAUCCUUGUAUGCUCAUUUUACCCUUGUCCUUCCCAAGACGAAAAUUUUCAUAAAACCCCUAUUGCAGCCAUUGGUCCCGAAGGUCAAGGUGUGAUCAAACUUCAAUGAACCCUUUAUGGGGAUCGAUGCUUGCACAUCAAUAUGACAAAUUAAAUUCCCGAGUUUUUCUGAGAUGAUUUUAAAAAUAAUUUUCCUAUAUACUCCUCUGUAAAAUUUUAAGCCCCUCCUGUCCCCCAUCUACACCCCAGGAGGAUAAACUACAUGAGAACUCCAUAUUACUUGACAUUGUAUUCUAGUGGGUUUUGAGAAAUUUUUGACAGAAUUUUCUCAUACAUCCAUAAUCCUACCUAAAAAUUUUAAUUCCACUUAAUUGUUCCGUCUUGGCACCAACGGUCAUAGUGUAAACAAAUCCGAAUCUAUACUACAGGAAGAUGCUUUCUUAUCAGUUUGACAUACUAAACCCCUGUGGUUCUAGAGAAGAUUUGAAAAGAAUUUUGAAUCCCUUUUGUGACCCCAUCCUCACCCCAGUGCUCAUGGUUUGAACAAACUUGAAUCUUUAUUACAGGUAUAUAGAUCUAUAGAAGCUUCUCAAUACAUGCACAAGUUUUGGCUGUUCUGUUCCAGUGGUUCUUCAUCAGAAGAUUUUUUAAACACUCCUCCCUAUUUCUACUAUUUCUGAAUCAGUUUUGUAGCAAGUUUGGUUGAAAUUACUUCCAUGGUUCUUGAAAAGUUGAAAAUGUGAAAAGUUAACUACAACAGAUGAUGGUCAAAGAAAUACUGCCAUUCAUAAAAUGGUUUUACUAAUUUCUGUUUUGAACAAUCCUGGCUUGUGCCUAAUAUUAAUCAUAUAUUAUAAAGUGAUAACUUCAUACAGUAUGUUUAUAAUCUAUAAAACUUUCCUCAACAGAGUUUAUCAAUGAAAGAGUAAAGUUCUUGAUCUUUAUGGGAAAAUACUGUAAUUUGACAUAUUACAAAGAAUUUGAAUAUGAGAAUAGCCCUCAAUCCAAAAACUAUAUAAUGUUUAUUAAUCAUAGAUUAUUGGCUGAAUAUUAGGCAAUAUGCCUGCCCAUGGUUGUUGUGCAGUAAAGUGGACAGAGCUUGAAUGGUCCACUUUCAUGAAACGACUGAGGGCAGGCAUAUUUCCCAAUAUUCAGUCAAUAACUUGUUUAUUAAAUAUUUUUUAAAUUGUGCACUUCUAAUUUUAGACGUGCACGUACAUUUUAAUUCUAGACAUGCACAUUCUAAUUCUAGAAGUUCACAUCAGGGUUCCAAUUACUACUCGCCCACUCACAUUGGUGACUACACUUUGCUUGUGGGCACCCCAAAUUUCCGUUCUCCUCGCCCACUUGGUGACCGUAAUUGUCGGAUCAACAUUUUUCUUUCCGACCGAUCCAAGUCGUAUUAUGAAGUUCAAUUUCUGGUUGAGAUUUUGCCACUUUGCGAGAUAUUCCUGGGGUAUCAAACCUUUCAAAACAUAAACCAGAAGUUGAACAACGCAAGGGUUACUUCAAAUGAAAAGAAAGCACCUGUUUUUACCAAAGUGGAAAGAAGGGGAGAAUAUGGUUCGAUGACGGCGAAAAGGGGAUGGCAUGUGCUGUGUGUACAAAACAUGGCACGACAGGUCCAAUCAUCAUGACACCUUGCCCGGGUUAUAAACUUGACAGCAUUCUAAAGCUGAGAACUUUUGAAAUCGCAUAAAAAGUCUGAAGAAGCGUGUGUUGAAGUCAGAGGUUCAUGAACUCUUGAUAUUUUUGCUAGGUUAACAAAAUGAGAGUGGAAAUGAGCGAGAGAGUGGUGUUUGAAACAAUUACAGAAAUGGAAACAAAAUUUAAAUAUUGAUAUUCUAAUUUUUAAAUAAAUUGCAAUGUGACCCAAUGCUUCUUUUUUCUUGUAAAAAAAACCAUGUUAUUCAUAUGUGUGGGCUACUAAUAUUUCAUGUGGACUAAAAUGAUUUCUUAUUCAGGGCCCACUUGGCCCCUAAGGUAUUUAGUCGAAGUUGGAACCCUGGCGCAUUCUAAUUCUAGAAAUACACAUUCUAAUUCUAGAAGUACACAUUUUAAUUCUAGAAGUACACAUUCUAAUUCUAGAAGUACACAUUCUAAUUCUAGAAGUGCACAUUCUAAUUCUAGAAAUACACAUUCUAAUUCUAGAAGUGCACAUUCAAUUACAUUUUUUGGGGUAGCUGAUAAAGUGUUAUGUCCAUCAUUAUUUGUACACAGACUAAUGUCACAAUCAAUGAAUUAAAAAAUAUAUAAUCUCAAGUGAAUUAAAAUAGUCCCUAGCAGUGAUUCCGAAGGUCCUUUGGACAUUGGCAAAUGUCUGGUAAUUUUUGCUUUGGUCUGAACAUUAUCAGUUAUUGACCGGACCAAGUGUCCGAUAAUUUUUUUUCUUCAAUGAAAUACAUGAUUAGAUAAAUUUUCAAUUUUUACCAGCAUGUCCCAAGAUUUAUUCUGUUCUUUAGUCAUUGCAAACAGAAAACGUGUUUACGUUUAACUCAAAUAUCUAUCAAACUUGCAAUCAUCUUCAAUUCCCCCAAGAGGGUGAUAAUACAAUUGAGCAAUAUUCCAUGAAACUACAGACGUCUUUGAAGCGUUUGAAUUAGGUAAUAAAUAACAGGUAAAUAUAGCGUUUAAACUAUACUCUGAUCAAGAAGUACUUGAGCAACAUGGGCACGUUUGAUUGAACAUUUUGAAUUUGAGUUGUAAACGCGAGUUGCUCGAGUUUAAAAAAAAACGUGUAUUUCAUAACACUAGUGUUGAACACUAGUAAGUGUGGUUGGUAAAAUUUACUCCACUGACGAAUCUGAAGUGAAAUGCUUGGGCUAAUAAAGUACAUGCCUGUUGCCGAUGCUAUUCCGAAGUCUGGGCCAGAAAGUUCAAAAUUAUAUGAAAGCUUCCUGACAUAGUGCAGAUUCAAGUUUGUUAAAAUCAUGGCCCCCGGGGGUAGGGUAUGGCGACAAUAGGGGAUCAAAGUUUUACAUGGGAAUAUAUAGGGAACAUGUUUAAAAAUCUUCUCAAGAACCACUGGGCCAGAAAGUUCAAAUUUACAUGAAAUUUUAAGCUUCCUGAUAUAAUGUAAAUUCAAGUUUGUCAAAAUCAUGGCCCCCAAGGGUAGGGUGGAGCCACAAUAGGGGAUUAAUUUGCCUAUAAAAUUUGGGUCUGGUAAAAUGUGAUUUGGUCCAGUAAUAUCUCUACCAUUACUGGACCAAAUGUCCAGUAAGUACCAGAAGACAUAGGGAAGCACUGCCCUAGGCAUUUACAGUGUGUGCUUUUAUGGCUAAGUAAGAGUAUGGGUAUUCUCUAUAGAAUCUACAGGAAAAAUAUCAAAAUAUGUACAGUGAACUUCUCUAAAACGGCCAGCUGCUGGACUGAAUGAAACAGAAGAAUUAAAGGGGUACCAUUCUGUGUUCCGUUCCCAGUCCAAAGCUUUCUGUUCUCAUCUAACACCGUUCAUUUCCUCAAAGUGUUUCUUCACACAUGGUCAUUCAGAACUCGCGUGUCAGUCCGUCAUUGUAGCUCAACAUCGCCCUACCCUAUCAAACCUAUUUAUCAGACCAAUCACGUACUCUUUGCCAAUUCCACUCCCUUAGUAAAUCCAAUUUGGACCAGUAAUCUGCUGCCAGUUUCUCUUUUCAGAUAUUACACCAAUUGGCCACAAUCAUUCAGGUCUUGGUGGAGAAGCAGAUUGUGACUCUCUAUCAUUUACUGUGCUUUCAGGACUUGCAACAUUUCAUCAGAAAAGGGGUAACUGACAGGAAUGUGCUUAAGAGUGGCAGGUUAUGCAGAUAUUACAGUCCAAGCUACUGCCUUUUCCAUCGCAUUGUUACUUAAAGGGGGAAGGUCUUGGGGUAUAAUUGAGUAAAGUGGCCGUCUGAUCUGGCCUGUUGUUCCAACCCCAUCUGUCAUACAAAGACUGAGGGCAUAAUGUGACACAUGUAUAUAGUGGUACAAAGCAAAAAGUAAAUAAGUUAAUUGGGGCUACACAGGACAUCAUUGCAGUCUUGGUACUCUCUCCACCUCUUGGUAAUAGAGGGGAGACCUCAUCCGGAGUACCAGGGGAGGUACUGCUGCACAUAACCGGGGGGGGUGGGGGGGUGGGGGGUGGGGCUAUCUUGCUGGAACAGGGUAAGCAGAUCAGGCGGUUCCUUUCGAUCCCAGAUAAGUGUCUGUCUGGGAUGCUGGCUCUUGUGCUCUCACAAGGCCACUGGUUUGCCCUCAUACUUUGAUUGACACUCUGGACACCCCUCCCGACCUGCAAUUUGAAUUUCUUCAUAACAACCUGGCCUAACGCCAAUUCACCCAAAAGUUUACAUAUAUGUAUGUCCAUCCUAGUCUACCAAGUAGUGUACUUGUGGAAUUCUCACAAUAAAUAGUAAACUUAUCAUCUGAUUUUCCCAGUAUGCCAAGUGUGUAGUUUCAGCACUGUUGUUUGGUGCCAUGCGGUUUGACUUUCUUUGUUUUAAUGUUGCAAUAUUUAUUCUACUUAGUGGAACAUAAUGGCAAAACGUCACAUUAUAAGAAAAUGAUGGAUAUGUAUAUAAAGUACGAAUUUUUCAUUUUAUGACCUUUGACCUUAAUUCUCUUCAUCAUAUUUUUUGUUCAAAACCUUUUAAAAUGAUUAAGAUCUAUUUAAAGAUUAUAUUUUUAAAAUAAUGUGACAUUUACUAAUCAUCAUGCAAUGUAAUUAUGUUUAAAUUGUGUCGAAUGGAUGCAGAAAGGCAAAUUAUGGUUAAAAUUAUACCAUGAGUGUUGUUACUUAGCAACCAAAAAUAUUUGUUUGUCAAUAAAAUUGAUUAAUUUGAUUGUGAUGUUUUUGUAGUAUUUUAAAAGGCACAUCGGCUCAUACAUUUAGAAUUUCCUAUUUUUGACUCUAAUCUAGUAAGCGGGGUCGUAAUAUAUAUAUUUCAGAGAAAAAAGAUUGCAAAAAUGUGCACUUAUAUGACCUUUGACCCCGCAGACUUCUUUGAGGUCAUGGGAUACAUUGACAAACUUUAUAAGAAAUUGUUUCCUGUCCAAUUUCUAACAAAAUUAUAUGUCAUAUGCCUACCCCAAAUCGUGGUACAUGCAGAUUUAAAUCGAUGUAAAAAUAUUGUCAUUUAGUCUUUAAAAACCUCUAAAAUGUGACGGUAGAGAAAGGGUUAAGGACAUAAAUGAACGCAACGUUUCUGCCAUUUUCUCUAAAAUUAUUUUUUCAUCUCCGCGAUAUGAGAAAUUCUUGUAUGAUUUCUGAAAGAGGUUUAAAUUUUAUAUUGUAUUGUUAUCUUCACCUUUCAUUGUAGUAAUAUUACCAUACUUUGUAUAUCAACCUAGGUAAUAUUACCAUGGGUAACUCAGUGGUUAGAUCACCUAUCUAGUAAUGUAAUGGUCCCAGGUACAAUACUGGAUUGUUCCAAAGAAUUCUCUCUCCUUCUUUGCUACAAUUAUACAACCUACUAUAAUACAUAAGAGCUGACUUUAUACAUUUUUUACUUGCAACAACUUGACAGGAGCGAUGACUCCCAGUUUGGCUUCGUCCCUGGCAGAGGUACAACUGACGCAAUAUUUGUUGUUCGGCAGCUGCAAGAAAUAUCUUGCAGUAAACAAAUGGCUCUAUAUGGCGUUCGUGGACCUCGAAAAGGCAUUUGACCGUGUCCCCUGGAAGGUGAUCUGGUGAGCACUGCGAAAACUUGGUGUGGAAGAGUGGAUUGUGCAUCUGGUGCAGGGGAUGUGUGCAAAUGCUCGUAGCUGUGUUCGUGUUGGUGAUGGCUACUGUGAGGAGUUUGUUGUUAAGGUCGAAGUCCAUCAGGGGUCAGUACUCAGCCCUCUACUUUUCAUCAUCGUACUCGAGGCUUUUUCACGCGAAUUUCGCACCGAUGUUCCCUGGGAGGAUCUGUAUGCAGAUGACCUGGUUAUCAUUACUGACUCAUUGGAUGAAUGUGUCAAGAGGCUCCUGACUUGGAAAGAAGCUAAGGAAAGGAAAGGACUGAGAGUGAAUGCGGGCAAAACCAAGAUCAUGAUCUGCGGUACAGGUCUUGACCUACUUCAGGACUCAGGCAGCUUCCCAUGUGCUGUCUGUUGUACAGGUGUAGGCAGCAAUAGUAUUUUCUGCAAUGGAUGCAAGCACUGGGUGCACAAGAAAUGCAGUUGGCUCAAGCACCUGUCUGUGGACCCUGACUUUAGAUGCUAAAGAUGCGGGGGAACGGCUCGCCCUCUUGACGGCAAGCCACAGAGUGAUAUCAAAGUUGGUCUGGACAAGUUGGAGGUUGUAGGUUCCUUCUGCUAACUCGGGAGACAUGCUUUCCACAGCUGGUGGCUGUGACCUUGCGACCACUACGUGCGUGAAGACUGCUUGGAAGAAGUUCAAGGAGCUGCUACCAGUCCAGACAUCACGCCACCUGUUGUACAAGACCCGUGGUCGAGUGUAUAACAUCUGCAUACGGAGCACUAUGCUCCAUGCCAGUCAGACCUGGGCACUGACAAAGCCAAAUCUUCAUCACCUACAGCGCAAUGACAGGGUCAUGAUAAGACAGAUCUGCAACAUCAAGCCUGAAGAUAUGGCCAAUGUAGGUUCAACUGAAUUGCUGGGGCGGCUGGCAUCGAUGACCUCGACUUCAUCUUAAGAGAAAGGAGACUCAACUGGUAUGGCCAUGUUGUCAGAUCUAGCAGUGCAGUCAAGUGCGCUCUCAACAUACAAGUUCCUGGUAGGCGUAGAGUUGUUCAGUCAAUGCUAUAAUGGAGAGAGCUGACGGAGAAAGAUCGUAAAGAAUGGAAGCUCUCUACUGCCAACCCUCAUGACCGGAAAAAAUGGAGAUCUGCCAUGCGUGCACCCAGCCAGAUACCUGGAAGGAGGCCCACUACUGUGGACAGUACCCGUAAUUCUGCAUGGAAAUAAGAAGGAACCGACAACAACAACAACCUAGAACUAUCAAAAUAUUCUAACUCUAAAACAGACAUGGUAAUAUACCCCAAGAAUUUUUUAACAAAUGAAA